GCGGGAGUAGCUCAGUUGGUAGAGCAUCACCUUGCCAAGGUGAGGGUCGCGGGUUCGAGUCCCGUCUCCCGCUCCA
rnacentral:tRNA from 1 species